UCCACGCCUGUGUGAGCUCUGAGCGGCUGUGCAUUGGGCUGGAGUUUCUGGAUCAGAGGAGCGAUCCUGCCCGGGUGCCACCAUCGCCCAGAGGCGCCACCAACACCUGAGCACCGUCCUCACCAGCCCCCUCAGCCCCUGGAACCUUCACCAUCAAAGUCUGCCUCUACUUCACCAAGACCUAGAACACUCACCUGGGGGCCACCAGCCUCCACCUAACUGUCCCCUGGGGGCCACCAGCCUGCACCUAACUAUAGUCCCCUGGGGGCCACCAGCCUCCACCUAACUGUCCCCUGGGGGCCACCAGCCUGCACCUAACAGUCCCCUGGGGGCCACCAGCCUUUACCUAACUGUCCCCUGGGGGCCACCAGCCUCCACCUAACUAUAGUCCCCUGGGGGCCACCAGCCUCCACCUAACAGUCCCCUGGGGGCCACCAGCCUUCACCUAACUAUAGUCCCCUGGGGGCCACCAGCCUUCACCUAACUGUCCCCUGGGGGCCACCAGCCUCCACCUAGCACCUUCCAGACUCUCCUGAGCCCUCAGAAGCAGGUGAACAUGUCUGUGGGACACCUGAGACCCCUUACAAUCCUGGCCUUAGGUCCAUCUCCCCAUCCCUCCCUGGUGCCCUCUGGUGUCAUCUCUGCAGUUUCUGCCCCUGUGCCCUUGGGAAGGCUGUUCCCUCUGUCUGGCUUGCCCCUUCCUUCCCUUGGUUUGCUCAGGAAGCCCUGGCCAGGCUCACAGUUUCCUCCAAAGCCCUCUCUGGUGCCUGCCCCAAGCGUGUGGCCUGGUUUUUAACUGGCCUGAGUUGGAGAUGCCAUUAAAGUCCUGGUGAGUGCGCAUGCUCCAUAGAGCCCAGAAGGGGCGCUUCCAAGCCCUAGGCCAAGGGCGGAGCUGGGGGAGGAGCUUGCUGUAGCCCCGCCCUCUUCAUCAUUCCAGGGUACCAGCCUAGCUGAGCCUCCCCUCCACAAAGGGGCUGCAAAGCACCAGCCAACAGCAGGUGGAGCCUCUGGUCCCAGGCUGUGUUCUGAGACUCAGUGGACCCAAACAACAAAGGUGGAAGUGAUCGUGGACCUAGCUGACUUCCGGAACUCCGCCUUAGCACCCUGCCCAGCUGCCAUGGGAACACAGGAGUCCCCCAUACACAAGGGGUGUGUUCAGAUUCCCUCUACGGAGGCUUGAAAGUGGGGAUACUGGCCUUGUGUGCACAGUGAUGGUUGGUCAUCAUAGUAACCGGGCUGGAUUUGGAGUCACCUAGGAGACACUGUGGAUGCCUGUGGGUGGGUUCCCGGGAGGGGAGAUCUGCCCUUACUGUGGGCUGCACCAUCCCUGGGCGUGGGUCCUGGGCCGGGUCAACAGGAAAAUCAAACAGAGCGAGCAUCGGCAUCAUCUCCCUCUGCUUUUCUGGCUGUGAUGCCAUGUGGGCAGCCGCCUCGUGCCCUCCCUCCCACGUUACUCUGUGCCCCGGAACUGCAAGCCACAGCCACGACAGGCCACCUUCCUUCAGCUGCCUUUGACAAAGUGUUUUGUGUCAGCAAUGAAACAAGUGGGGAGGGGCCUAGACGCUCGCCAGGACCCGGGGGUCUCACAGCGUAGGGCUCUGAGCGCCACGUUUUUGCUUUUUGUUGUGUUUCUGGAACUUUGUUUUCCAGGGAGCUCUUCCGACUGAUGUGAAGAUGCUGUCUUCCUGGAGGGCCACAAGGCUUUUGUGCGGUAACUGCUCUGUGUGGAGUCCGAGAAGGCGGCCAGGGUUUGACGAGUCGAACAUGUUUUAUCCUUUUACUCUAGAGUUGAACCGGAUGCAGAGCUGGCUAAUUUUAUGUCAACUCCACACCAGUUGGAGUCAUCAAAGAGGAGGGAAUUGCAACUGAGAAAAUGCCUCCAUGAGAUCCAGCUUUGCUUUUGGCCAUGGUUUCAUCACAGCAAUAGUGACCCCGACUGGGACAGAUGUACUUUGGAGAAGGCUGCACUUCUAUAAGCGUCCUUCGGGAAUGUGGGCUCAUCUGUAUCGUUCUUGGAAGUGGUCGGGCCACCCUGACUCUCAGCAGGGAGUCAUCUACUCAUCCAACUGGCUCCACGCUCCAAGCAUCUCUUUCAAAACAUGUCAGAUUCCUCAACCACACCUCACAGACUGUCUCCAGCUCCUCCCACCUCUGACCUGGACACACCCCUUGGCAAUGGGAAGACAAAGCUAAGUCCAGUACCCAGGUCUGACAGUGUUAAUUCUUUCACCUGGACACCCUCCCCCUCAGUGUGGCUUGAACAAGAAUUGGGGUGUUCUCUUCCGAUUCACAUUUAGUUUUCUUACAACAGGAUUCUGUUCCUUUUAUCUCUGUGUGCUUUUUUUUUUUUUAAAUUCUGUAGAUGUAAAUCCAUCUACACUGUGUGCCAUUUAAAAGGCCUAAACACAAGAUUAUACUUAUCCCUUGUAAAUGUCACUGCCUUGGAUUUGCCUCCUGACUUCUUCUGUGUUCCUGUUCUGCUGUCUUUCAUAUGUUCAGCUCCUAAAUGGACUCUGCCUACACCACACAGUGUUGCACGCGACCUUUGACGUGGUAGUGUGUGUUCAUGCUACCCGGUAACUCCCCUACUAACCAGAAUUUUCUCUUGUAAAUCCCCCUCUUCAGUCCUCAGGAAAUGUUACUAGACUUGACUCUACCUCCCUUCCAUGAUGAGCACGUGACCAAGGUCUGGCCAAUGGGAUGUGGUACCCACUUCCCAUCCCUAAUUGGGGAGACACCUAUAGACAUCCCUGGGACUUGUCCCCUGGGGGAAUCUGGGGGUCUCCAGGAGAGAAGCACUGCUGUUCUGUCCAAGUGUGCUGCAGAGAGGGUGGAAGUGUGGCACUCCUGGUGGGGUCACACCCAGGAGUCCUGGGGUGGGCAGGGGUAUCCCAAAGGAGGUAGAAGUCCCUUAGCCAGUCUGUGGAGGCUCUUAGGUGAUUGUGCCCCCCACCCCAGCACUGUGUGAGCGGGGUAUGGGGGUGCUGAGAUCUCACUGUUGGAGAAAAAUGCAGUUGGUUUCAAUGCAUUUGUACAAUAAACCCAAGAGUCACCAAUAAUGUUAAGGGAAGACAUCAAAGCACUUCCUCCUGAGGUCAUUUGACCGAGAUUGAGCCCAGAUUGUAGAAUUCUCUGCCUCUCUUUCCCUGGGUUUUCCUUCUGUCCCCUGCCUGCCCUGUGAAUCUGUCCCUGUCCCUGUGUGUCUACAAAUCUGUCUGUGUGUCUGUCCCUCAGGCUGUCUUGUGAAUCUGUCUCUGGGUCUGUGUCUGUGUGUAUGCGAAUCUGUCUGUGUGUCUGUCCCUCACGAAGGGAUUCGCUCUGUCUUUAUCGAACAGCAAAGCAAGCAUCACAUGGUGAAGGAAUGGGAUGCUUUACAGAAAUCUUCAGCAGAGUUUUACAAGGGAUUAAGUCACUGGGUCCAACAGAUCCCAACUGACCCAGAUAGCAAAUAUCACUGUUUAUCAACUGAUAAUCCAAGUGUUGUGUUUAACGUUUAUGGCGGAUAUUCAUUUUAGGAGGUUUCUUUCAGCCUCUAUUUUUGCCGCUUUCAGCAAAUUGCUUCUUUGAACUUGGAUGCAUUACUCUGGGUCAGGGCCAUGGAAAGAGCGCAUAAUUUAAGAUUACAGCUUCCCAUUAGCUCAGGCUGUAAAAGUUGAUUACACGGGAAAUCCAAGGCAAGUAAGGUUGGCUGUUCCAGUGUUCUCAUAAAGGCAGAUUAAAAAGACAGGCUGCAGACACAGUAGGGCAGCGGUCUUAAGUCUUAUGUGACCUCUGGGGGUCACACUAACUCGGCUGUGAGGCCCAGCAAAAGUUCCGGCCUCUUAGCUUGUAAGAGAUAUAGAUUUUUUUUUAUUAUAAUGAAGCUGCCACAGAAAAACUGGAGAGGUUGAGGCAGAGGGGUCAGAAGUUCAAGGUCAUCGGGCUACGUGGUGACUCUAAGACACCGGAGAAGAAAACAAUCAAACUCACUCUCCCUCCUUUCUGAAAUUUUUCUCUUUGGAUCUUCUGAUUCCUUUGCUUCCAAAGAUUGAGGGGUCUGUUUCCAGGGCGCCUGUGGCUAUUCCAUUUGGAUUCUAAAGUUUAAA